rnacentral:siRNA from 1 species
CAGUUCUACCUGAUCUUGUUGGGC